CCUACGGGAGGCAGCAGUGGGGAAUCUUGCGCAAUGGGCGAAAGCCUGACGCAGCCAUGCCGCGUGAAUGAUGAAGGUCUUAGGAUUGUAAAAUUCUUUCACCGGGGACGAUAAUGACGGUACCCGGAGAAGAAGCCCCGGCUAACUUCGUGCCAGCAGCCGCGGUAAUACGAAGGGGGCUAGCGUUGCUCGGAAUUACUGGGCGUAAAGGGAGCGUAGGCGGAUAGUUUAGUCAGAGGUGAAAGCCCAGGGCUCAACCUUGGAAUUGCCUUUGAUACUGGCUAUCUUGAGUGUGGGAGAGGUAUGUGGAACUCCGAGUGUAGAGGUGAAAUUCGUAGAUAUUCGGAAGAACACCAGUGGCGAAGGCGACAUACUGGCCCAUUACUGACGCUGAGGCUCGAAAGCGUGGGGAGCAAACAGGAUUAGAUACCCUGGUAGUCCACGCUGUAAACGAUGAGUGCUAGUUGUCGGCAGCAUGCGUCGUCGGUGACGCGNGCUACGACAUAAGUACACUCCGCCGUCGGGAGGUACGGUCGCGAAGAAGUUAAAACGUUAAAGUUAAGUUAAGUUAGUACGGUUACGUUGAGACGUUGCCGACGGACGACGACGAGGGAGGAGG
rnacentral:rRNA from 1 species